rnacentral:rRNA from 1 species
UACGUAGGGACCAAGCGUUGUUCGGAUUUACUGGGCGUAAAGGGCGCGUAGGCGGCUUGUCAAGUCACUUGUGAAAUCUCUGGGCUUAACCCGGAGCGGCCAAGUGAUACUGUCGUGCUAGAGUGCGGAAGGGGCUACUGGAAUUCUCGGUGUAGCGGUGAAAUGCGUAGAUAUCGAGAGGAACACCUGCGGCGAAGGCGGGUAGCUGGGCCGACACUGACGCUGAGGCGCGAAAGCCAGGGGAGCGAACGGG